rnacentral:rRNA from 1 species
AAUCAACGCUGGCGGCGUGCCUCAGACAUGCAAGUCGAACGCGAAAGUUUCCUUCGGGAACAAGUAGAGUGGCGCACGGGUGAGUAACACGUAGGUAAUCUACCUUUGGAUGGGGAAUAACAACCGGAAACGGUUGCUAAUACCGCAUAAUGCAGCGGCACCUAAUGGUGACAGUUGUUAAAGCGGGGGAUCGAAAGACCUCGCGUCUGAAGAGGAGCCUGCGGCGGAUUAGCAGUUGGUAAGGUAAUGGCUUACCAAGGCGACGAUCCGUAACCGGCCUGAGAGGGCGGUCGGUCACACUGACACUGACAUACGGGUCAGACUCCGUACGGGAGGCAGCAGUCGGGAAUUUGGGCAAUGGGCGAAAGCCUGACCCAGC